rnacentral:rRNA from 1 species
GACGAACGCUGGCGGCAUGCCUAACACAUGCAAGUCGAGCGAGUAGAUCCCUUCGGGGUGAAGCUAGCGGCGGACGGAUGAGUAACACGUGGGCAACCUGCCUCAUAGAGGGGAAUAGCCUUCCGAAAGGAAGAUUAAUACCGCAUAAGAUUGUAGCUUCGCAUGAAGCAGCAAUUAAAGGAGCAAUCCGCUAUGAGAUGGGCCCGCGGCGCAUUAGCUAGUUGGUGAGGUAACGGCUCACCAAGGCGACGAUGCGUAGCCGACCUGAGAGGGGGAUCGGCGAAGUUGGGGCUGAGACACGGCCCAGACUCCUACGGGAGGCAGCAGUGGGGAAUAUUGCACAAUGGGGGAAACCCUGAUGCAGCAAGGCCGCGUGAGUGAUGACGGCCUUCGGGUUGGAAAGCUCUGUCUUCGGGGACGAUAAUGACGGUACCCGAGGAGGAAGCCACGGCUAACGACGUGCCAGCAGCCGCCGUAA